UUCCAGGUGGCUCAGUGGUAAAGAAUCUGCCUGCUAAGCAGAAGAUGCAGGUUCGAUCCCCGGCUUGGGAA
rnacentral:tRNA from 1 species